rnacentral:rRNA from 1 species
ACGGAAGGCAGCAGUGGGGAAUAUUGCACAAUGGGGGAAACCCUGAUGCAGCGACGCCGCGUGAGUGAAGAAGUAUUUCGGUAUGUAAAGCUCUAUCAGCAGGAAAGAAAAUGACGGUACCUGACUAAGAAGCCCCGGCUAACUACGUGCCAGCAGCCGCGGUAAUGCGUAGGGGGCAAGCGUUAUCCGGAUUUACUGGGUGUAAAGGGAGCGUAGACGGCUUUGCAAGUCUGAAGUGAAAGCCCGGGGCUCAACCCCGGAACUGCUUUGGAAACUGUAGAGCUAGAGUGCAGGAGAGGUAAGUGGAAUUCCUAGUGUAGCGGUGAAAUGCGUAGAUAUUAGGAGGAACACCAGUGGCGAAGGCGGCUUACUGGACUGUAACUGACGUUGAGGCUCGAAGGCGUGGGGAGCAAACAGGAUUAGAUACCCUGGUA